rnacentral:SRP_RNA from 1 species
GCCGGGUGUGGUGGCUCACGCCUGUAAUCCCAGCACUUUGGGAGGCCGAGGUGGGAGGAUCACCUGAGGUCAGGAGUUCAAGACCAGCCUGACCAACAUGGAGAAACCCCGUCUCUA